rnacentral:rRNA from 1 species
UACGAGUGCCCCAAGCGUUAUCCGGAAUCAUUGGGCGUAAAGGGUGUGUAGGUGGUGUGAUUAGUCUUCUGUUAAAACUUCACGCUUAACGUGGAACUCGCAGAGGAAACGGUCACACUUGAGGAUGCGAGAGGUAGAUGGAACUCAUGGAGUAGGGGUGAAAUCCGUUGAUAUCAUGGGGAACACCAAAGGCGAAGGCAAUCUACUGGCGCAUUCCUGACACUGAAACACGAAAGCGUGGGUAGCGAACGGG